rnacentral:rRNA from 1 species
ACUCAAAGGAAUUGACGGGGGCCCGCACAAGCGGCGGAGCAUGUGGAUUAAUUCGAUGCAACGCGAAGAACCUUACCUGGGCUUGACAUACACCAGACGACCUCAGAGAUGGGGUUUCCUUUGUGGUUGGUGUACAGGUGGUGCAUGGCUGUCGUCAGCUCGUGUCGUGAGAUGUUGGGUUAAGUCCCGCAACGAGCGCAACCCUUGUCCCGUGUUGCCAGCACGUUGUGGUGGGGACUCGCGGGAGACUGCCGGGGUCAACUCGGAGGAAGGUGGGGACGACGUCAAGUCAUCAUGCCCCUUAUGUCCAGGGCUUCACACAUGCUACAAUGGCCGGUACAGAGGGUGGCGAUAUCGUGAGGUGGAGCGAAUCCCUUAAAGCCGGUCUCAGUUCGGAUCGGGGUCUGCAACUCGACCCCGUGAAGGUGGAGUCGCUAGUAAUCGCAGAUCAGCAAUGCUGCGGUGAAUACGUUCCCGGGCCUUGCACACACCGCCCGU